UGAGGAAUAUUGGUCAAUGGGCGAGAGCCUGAACCAGCCAAGUCGCGUGAGGGAAGACGGUCCUAUGGAUUGUAAACCUCUUUUGCCGGGGAGCAAAGAGCGGCACGUGUGCCGCGCCGAGAGUACCCGGAGAAAAAGCAUCGGCUAACUCUGUGCCAGCAGCCGCGGUAAUACGGAGGAUGCGAGCGUUAUCCGGAUUUAUUGGGUUUAAAGGGUGCGCAGGCGGCGCGUUAAGUCAGCGGUAAAAUUUCGGGGCUCAACCCCGACGAGCCGUUGAAAACUGGCGUGCUAGAGUGGGCGAGAAGUAUGCGGAAUGCGUGGUGUAGCGGUGAAAUGCAUAGAUAUCACGCAGAACUCCGAUUGCGAAGGCAGCAUACCGGCGCCCAACUGACGCUCAUGCACGAAAGCGUGGGGAUCGAACAGGAUUAGAUACC
rnacentral:rRNA from 1 species